rnacentral:ncRNA from 1 species
AAACCAGCCGACGAGUGUAAAGGCAUAAGGGAGCUUGACUGCGAGACUGACAAGUCGAGCAGGUGCGAAAGCAGGUCUUAGUGAUCCGGUGGUUCCGCAUGGAAGGGCCAUCGCUCAACGGAUAAAAGGUACGCCGGGGAUAACAGGCUUAUCUCCCCCAAGAGUUCACAUCGACGGGGAGGUUUGGCACCUCGAUGUCGGCUCAUCGCAUCCUGGGGCUGAAGUAGGUCCCAAGGGUUUGGCUGUUCGCCAAUUAAAGCGGUACGUGAGCUGGGUUUAAAACGUCGCAAGACAGUUUGGUCCCUAUCUGGUGUGGGCGUUGGAGACUUGAAGGGAGCUGUCCCUAGUACGAGAGGACCGGGAUGGACGCACCGCUAGUGUACCAGUUGUUCCGCCAGGGGCAUCGCUGGGUAGCUAUGUGCGGAAGGGAUAACCGCUGAAAGCAUCUAAGUGGGAAACCCGCCCUGAGAUGAGGUCUCCCGGGGCUAUAAGCCCCCUGAAGGGCCCUCGUAGACUACGAGGUUGAUAGGCCGGGUGUGUAAGCGCAGCGAUGCGUUUAGCUGACCGGUACUAAUCGCCCGUGAGGCUUGACCAC